AGAUGCGGCCCAGUUUCAGGUGCCUGCUGCCGCCGUGCAGCAGGUGAAACGGGAAGCCGGUGCGUCUUGCAUGACUAGUCCGGCGCUGCCCCCGCAACGGUAAGCGAGUGAAGCAUCCAACAGGCCACUGUGCGCAACGCAUGGGAAGGCGGAUGACUUCGAGCCUCGCAAGCCCGGAGACCGGCCUGCAAACCCACGACUGU
rnacentral:ncRNA from 1 species